rnacentral:misc_RNA from 1 species
GAUGAAGAACGUAGCGAAAUGCGAUACUUGGUGUGAAUUGCAGAAUCCCGUGAACCAUCGAGUCUUUGAACGCAAGUUGCGCCUCAAGCCAUUAGGUUGAGGGCACGUCUGCCUGGGCGUCACAUAUCGUUGCCUGAUGCCAGUUUCCUCGUGAUGGGUGACUGUGCAGGGCGAAUGAUGGCUUCCCGUGAGCAUUGUUGCCUCAUGGUUGGUUGAAAAUUGAGUCCUUGGUAGGGAGCGCCGUGAUAGAUGGUGGUUGAGUGACGAACGAGACCCAAUCAUGUGAGACCCCUACCGAAUUUGGCCUUCAUGACCCACAUGCGUCUUUGGAACGCUCAUGACGAGACCUCAGGUCAGGCGGGGCUACCCGCUGAGUUUGAGCAUAUCAAUAAGCGGAGGA